rnacentral:rRNA from 1 species
GAUGAACGCUGGCGGCGUGCCUAAUACAUGCAAGUCGAGCGAAUAGAUGAGGAGCUUGCUCCUCUGACGUUAGCGGCGGACGGGUGAGUAACACGUGGAUAACCUACCUAUAAGACUGGGAUAACUUCGGGAAACCGGAGCUAAUACCGGAUAAUAUAUUUAACCGCAUGGUUCAAUAGUGAAAGACGGUUUUGCUGUCACUUAUAGAUGGAUCCGCGCCGCAUUAGCUAGUUGGUAAGGUAACGGCUUACCAAGGCAACGAUGCGUAGCCGACCUGAGAGGGUGAUCGGCCACACUGGAACUGAGACACGGUCCAGACUCCUACGGGAGGCAGCAGUAGGGAAUCUUCCGCAAUGGGCGAAAGCCUGACGGAGCAACGCCGCGUGAGUGAUGAAGGUCUUCGGAUCGUAAAACUCUGUUAUUAGGGAAGAACAAAUGUGUAAGUAACUAUGCACGUCUUGACGGUACCUAAUCAGAAAGCCACGGCUAACUACGUG